CCUUAUACAGGGGGAGUAACAGUCAGAAAUGGCUGCUAAUACCGCAUAAGCGCACAGAGCUGCAUGGCUCAGUGUGAAAAACUACCGGUGGUAUAAGAUGGACCCGCGUUGGAUUAGCUUGUUGGCAGGGUAACGGCCUACCAAGGCGACGAUCCAUAGCCGGCCUGAGAGGGUGAACGGCCACAUUGGGACUGAGACACGGCCCAGACUCCUACGGGAGGCAGCAUG
rnacentral:rRNA from 1 species